rnacentral:rRNA from 1 species
AUGCUUCUCCUAAAGACUAAGCCAUGCAUGCCUACGAAUAGAAGAGCAUUCUCUCCGAAUCUGCGAACGGCUCCGCAAACCAGUUGUAAACUAUAGCAAGCAUGCCCCGGCGUCGGCCGCAAGGUCGACGACGGCGCGAUAAGGAUAACCCUGGUAAUUCUGAGGCUAAUACAAGAACAUAAACCCUGCCCUAACCAGGUAUGGCGGGCGGGGGACGUGUGAUACAUCGUAACGGGUGUAAUGGGAAUAGGUGCACGUUCAGACCACCGCAACAAAACGGGAAGAAGCGUGUUUCGGCACCAACUUUUCGGGUGGCUCUUGCUGUGUGCUUCUGACCUAUCAACUAGAUGGCAGCGUAACGGACAUGCUAUGGUGACAACGGGUACAGAGGAUAAGGGUUCGAUCCUGGAGAGUGGGCCUGAGAGAUUGCUCACACUUCUAAGGAAGGCAGCAGGCGCGCAACGUUCCCCUUGGGCAAUGCUCGAGGGCGUUAGGGGACAUAUGAAUGUCUGCCUAUUGGUGGACAAUUCAAAUG